rnacentral:tRNA from 1 species
GUCCAGGGAUAGGUAGCCUAGUGGACAUGGCAUCUGUCCGGUAAGCGGAACACUGUGGGUUCGAUUCCCAUCCCUGGACA